rnacentral:rRNA from 1 species
CAGUCGCCACGGGAAUACGAAGGGGGCUAGCGUUGUUCGGAUUUACUGGGCGUAAAGCGCACGUAGGCGGAUCGAUCAGUCAGGGGUGAAAUCCCAGAGCUCAACUCUGGAACUGCCUUUGAUACUGUCGAUCUGGAGUAUGGAAGAGGUGAGUGGAAUUCCGAGUGUAGAGGUGAAAUUCGUAGAUAUUCGGAGGAACACCAGUGGCGAAGGCGGCUCACUGGUCCAUUACUGACGCUGAGGUGCGAAAGCGUGGGGAGCAAACAGGAUUAGAUACCCGGGUAGUCCCUGUCUCUUAUAC